UCCAUGUUAUCUACUAUAUAAAUUAAUUGAACAAUUACAUUUAACAAAUAAAUGUAAACAUUUGACCAAUGUGAUUCUUUAUUUCAAAAUAAAUGUGUACAAAAACUAAACUUUUAAGUAUACACUUCAACAGAGACAUGAUGGACAUUUUCAACUAUAUAUUUUAUAGUUAUUUAUUUUGAUUGAUACAUGUUCUUAUCAAUAAUUGCAUAACUCUUUAUUGAGUGUUUCAAUAUAUUUGUCUGCUUAUUUAUUUUCAGCAAUGCAUCAUGUCAUAUUACAUGUUUGACCAGGUCAUUACAUAGCUUUAAAAAGAUGAGUAAAAUGGUUAAAAAAUGUGGCAAAGGAUUUGUAGCUGAAAUUCAGGUGAUAUUGUAUUCUAUUUUAAAUCUUGGUUUAUUUUACUAAAGACAUUUCAAUAUCUCUUUUUGCUAUUUUACAGGAAAAUAUAACUAAUAAGUUAUCGAGAAUGGACUCUAACAAUUCAACCAAUUCAUCAGAAGAUUUGCAUGGUAAAGAACCAAUUGCUGAUGAGAAAAUUGAUAAUAAAAAAGGACGGGGUGCUUCAAAGUUGAAAAUGGUUAGUGGCCAAGACAAGUGCAAAGAGCUGGAGCGUAAUGAGUUUGGACAGCCGAUUGGAGAUAAUUCAGUGAAGUACGCUUCUUUCCUAGGUUGCAUGAUAAAGGAAUUUGUGCUAUAUACAUUAGAUGGAUGGAGUGAUAUUGAUGAAGAAGUGAAAGAUAGGAUGUGGAGUUGUCUUCAGAUGACUUAUAAAGUUGAGGAUUGGGAAAAGAAAUCAAUUUUUUCAAAAGUUAGCUAAAUUGUGGCGCGAUAGAAAAUCCAAAUUGCAAAUACUUGUACGAGAAGCUAAUACAAGUCGAGUGGCUUCACGAGAUCUCAGUUUGUUGAAGCCUGAAUUUAUGGACCAAAAUCAGUGGGACUUGUUUGUACAGAGGACAUUAUCAUCUACCUUUCAAGAAAAGAGUGCAAGAUUUAGAGCAAUGAGGGAAAAACAAGACCACAUUCACACAAUGAGUCGGAGGGGUUAUGCUCGUUUGACUCACAUUAUGGAAAAGACAAGUCCGAUAGAUACAAAAAUUACGAGAUCGCAAGUUUGGAUUGAAGGUCACAAGAAAAAAAAUGGGGAGCCCAGUACUCAAGCCGUUGGAGAGAAAAUGAUAAGCAUGUUCACUCAUUUUAGAUUUCUUUGGUAUUUUAUUCAACUGAUAUGGUUUUUCAUAAGCAUUUAUACUUAAGAUCUCCAUUUUAGUUGAUUCAUCUAUUGCUGGUAUUUCAUCAUUUGUUACUCUGUUGCUGUAAGAGUGCUACUGUAAAUCAAUGACUUUUUAUACUUAAGAUCUCCUCAUGUUUUUGAUUUCUGAAUUUAAUCGCUCACUCUGAAGCUUAUAAUCUUCAAUUUCAGAUUGCUAUGACAAAAUCUUUUUUUAAUUUUCUCUGGAGUCAGUAAACCUUUCAUGCAACGCUGUAGCUAAACCUUCCAUUGAUUUUUUUUAUGUUUUCUCUAUGAUCUUUGCUGGCAUUAAGCUUGUCAACAGUCUCUCAAUUUAUGAAGCAGAAACAUUGUAAUUGUCAAGUGCUUGUAACCUGUUUUAGAUCCGUAAGAAUGUAUGUACAAUGUGUUUAAUUUUUGAAAUAUGUGCCUACGUAAUUGUAGCUGUGUUUGCCGUUUCUGACUUCGUACCGUGUUAUGUUUUUGUUGCUUUGGUUUAUUUUUGCUAGUUAUUAGUUAUUCAAAUUCUCUAUUGUAGGUUUUUUCAUUUAUUUACCAGUUUUGAUAAUAAUUUUUGUGUCAUCCUUUGUAUUUAUUCUGUCUUUGGAACUAAAUCAGUAUCUGAUAAUAGUCUGAGAUUUUUUCUCAUAUGGUUAGUGAACAUAAAUCUCUAAAGUUUGUCUGUCUGUUUUAAUCUUGCUAUAUGAAGUGAGUUUUAAAAUUCCUUAUUGUUUAAACUUAGUUUUGAUAAUAAUUUUUGUAACACCCUUUUAAUUUAGUUGACUUCUAAACUGAACUAAGUUCAGUAUAGUUCAUUUAUUCACAUGUAGAAAUUUUUAUAGUUCAUUGAUAAUAAUUUUUGUAACACCCGUGGUAUAUGAAGCUGUGCAUUUCUUUAUUCUAUUUAAGAAUUUUAACAUGAGUUGAUUUCUUUAUUAUAUGUUGAUUUCAUUUACAUGCAUGAUAUGUUGAUGUUUUGUAUAGUCAUUUAUUAUAUUAAUGAUAAUAUAUUGAAAGUUUUUUUUUGUUGCAGAAAAAAAUAUUAGAAUGUCCACCCGAAUCUCAAAACACAACUAAUAUUGUUGAUGAUGCAAUUAGCAUUGUGUUUGGCAAAGAAGCUCGGGGUAGAGUGCGUGGAAUGGGCUUUGGAGUAACACCAUCGAAAGUUGGAGCUUCUGUGCAACAAAAUAGAACGGUUCAAAAACUUCAAACUGUAGUACAAAAUGUUCAACAACAAAUGCAAGAAAUGAGGCAACAAAAUCAACUAGAAAUGAAAGAAAUGAGGUCUAUGUUUUUACAAAGUAUGAGACAACAAAAUCAUCCAGAACAGAUUGCUAGUGGUGGCAUUUGUAGCGGUAUUGGGAAUGAAUUUGGUAGCAAUAGCGAUAUCAAUAUUGGUGCCAAAAAAGUGAUGAUUUUG